AAUCUAGCAGAAGAGACACCAUGAUCUAGAAGGUAGUUUUCUCAGGGCAAGACUCAUCCAUUGCAUUUGGUAUGUGUUGACACCUGCCAUUUCCCCAAAAGUGGGAAACCUGACUGCAUUAUUUGUGAUAAGGAAUUGAGCUGCUAUGAAGUGGCUUCA